UAAAGUGACAGGUCUAAGGUCACACUUUCUAUAAUGCUGUGACCUUGGGCAAGUCACUUAACU
ensembl:miRNA mdo-mir-12350 mdo-mir-12350